AGUGAACGCUGGCGGUAGGCCUAACACAUGCAAGUCGAACGGCAGCACAGUAAGAGCUUGCUCUUACGGGUUGCGAAUGGCGUGCGUGUGAGGAAUACAUCGGAAUCUACUUUUUCGUGUGGGAUAACGUAGGGAAACUUACGCUAAUACCGCAUACGACCUACCAGGGAAAGCAUUGGAUCUUCUGACCUUUCGCGAUUGAAUGAGCCGAUGUCGGAUUAGCUAGUUGGCGGGGUAAAUGCCCACCAAGGCGACGAUCCGUAGCCCGUCUGAGAGGAUGGUAAGCGACAUUGGAACUGAGACACGGUCAAGACUACUACGGGAGGCCGCAGUGGGCAAUGUGGGACAACGGUCGCGAGCCUGAUCCAGCCAUACGGCGUGGGUGACGGAGGCCUUCGGGUUGUAAAGACGUCUUGUUGGGAAAGAAACGCAGUAGGUUAAGACGACGCUGUUGUGACGGUACCGAAAGAAUAAGCACCGGCUAACUACGUG
rnacentral:rRNA from 1 species